rnacentral:rRNA from 1 species
GUCCACGCCCUAAACGAUGGACACUAAGUGUAGCCGGCGAAGGCCGGCUGUGCCGCAGCUAACGCAGUAAGUGUCCCGCCUGGGGAGUACGGCCGCAAGGUUGAAACUCAAAGGAAUUGACGGGGGCCCGCACAAGCGGUGGAGCAUGUGGUUCAAUUCGACGCAACGCGAAAACCUUACCUGGGUUUGACAUGCAGGUGGUACUGAACCGAAAGGGAAUGGACCCCGCAAGGGGAGCCUGCACAGGUGCUGCAUGGCUGUCGU